UACGUAGGGGGGCAAGCGUUGUCCGGAUUUAUUGGGCGUAAAGAGCGUGUAGGCGGUUGGGGUAGGUCCGUUGUGAAAACUCGAGCUCAACCUCGAGACGCCGAUGGAAACCCCCUGACUAGAGUCCGGAAGAGGAGAGUGGAAUUCCUCGGUGUAGCGGUGAAAUGCGCAGAUAUCAGGAAGAACACCCGUGGCUAAGGCGGCUCUCUAGUACGGUACUGACGCUGAGACGCGAAAGCGUGGGGAGCGAACAGG
rnacentral:rRNA from 1 species